UGCCAUGGCUUCCUGUGUCCCCGGAUCCGACCUCCACCAGUCUGCCGUUGCGCCAAUCAGGGUGCCACCAUCGUGCGGGCCCCGACCCCACACCCCAUGGCGGCCGGAGAUGAUGGCGAGGAAGGGCCGGGUCCCCUGACGAAUCCUCCUCCCUCCAUCACCUGGCGCGCAUGCCUCCCCGCCCACACGCCUCGAUCCCAUCGAACCAACGCCCAGGCCCAGCGUGCGCCACCGCCAUGGACUCCGCCGCGGGGACGGAUCUGGGGAAGAUCGUGGGCGUGUUCUACCAAGCCGAGGACAGGGAGCACAGCCGAUGCCUCCUCGCUCUGCUCGCCACCUUCCUCGCCGUGCUCGACGCCAUGCAAGGUCCGCCUCUCUCUCCUCCUCCUGGUCUCUCUCUGUUGCUUGGUUCGAUUUUGCUGAUGCGGUUUCCUUCCUCCCAUCCCUAAUGCAUGCGCACAGGUGCACUGCCUAGUAGGAGACCACGGCUCCGUCUGCUUCUUCUGUUGCUGUGUGGUCGACGACGACGACUCAGCCGUGCGGUCGGUGCCCUCUGACGCUGCCCGACGCGAUGGCUCCCACCAAGAAGGCGAAGAAGAGCGGGAGAGAACAUCAACAACAAGUUGCAGCUGGUGAUGAAGAGCGGCAAGUACACGCUCAGCUACAAGACCGUCCUCAAGAAGCUGCGCAGCUCCAAGGGUAUGGAUCUUUUUGUCACUCUUGAUUGAUUUAUCGUUGUGGCUGAUCUGCUAGUUCCUUUGUCUGCUGGAUCGGAAGGGUAGUACUAUAACAUACGCUCGGGACUGUGUUAACUCCUGAGAUUCGUGAUUAGCUUUUGUAGAAUGAGGUGGUUAAUAUCUGUUUUGUUGUUGUCAAUUCUUUGUUGUACUUAUUUGUGAGAUAAGCUGAACUGUGUACAUAUUUGCUUCACGUGUGUAGUGAUACCUGCUGAAGUUUGUAGCGUUGAAACUUUUAGUUCGUAGAAUUGGGACUGAUGUUUACCUCAUUGGCUUGCUUUUGCCGUGCCUUAGAGAUGAAUACAGCGCCCUAGAACAAGCCUCCUCUUAAUUAAGACUUCUGUGAGACCUCUUUAAUGUCUAGUGGGCAAUGGGAGGUUGAAAUAUUUCUGUUUGCUGAUAGCAGUUUGUACUGUGUUUUUGGUUGUGUGUUAGAAGUUGUCUUGUGUAGUUUGUACCAAUCAAUUUAGUUUGUAGAGUGUGACACAUUGUUGUUCGUACUGAUCAAAUUUGUUUGUAGAAUGGGACUGAAGUUUACCUCACUAGCUUGCUUUGGCUGUGCCUUAGAGAUGAAUACAGCGCCCUAAAACAAGUCACCUCUUGAAUUGAUACUUCUACAAGACCUCCUCAAUGUCUUGUGGACAGUGGGAGGUUGAAUAUUGGGCAUGCUAAAUGUUGUUGUUCUCUGUGUAGAUAACAUGCUGAAUGUUGAAUGUUGUUCAUGCUCUGAAUACGACAAAAUGAUUGAGCUCUGUUUGAUUAUGCUCUUCUGAGAUUUGCAGGAGUAGUUCAUUUUUGGGACAUGUGUUAGAUAAAUAAUGUGUGUUAAAUCAAGCCUAGCAGAGUACAAUAGACACACUAGAUUGUUUCUGAACGUGUUAAAUCAAAAAUAUGCAUGUGUUACUGUAUCCUAGUAAUUCUGUUGUGUCACUGUAUCCCAGUAAAGCAAGAUGCUUGUUAUACUCAUGUUCCUGAUGAUAUUGGUGUACACUCAAUAUGGUUGUUUCUUCUAGUUCUGCUACUAGUUGAUGUGUACUCCUAGUGUUGUUGUUGCUGUGUAGUAAUACAGAAAUAUUAAUGCUCAAAUAUGAUGAUGUGGCCUGCAGCGCACUUGCUUUGACGUCAACCCGUCCGCCGUCAUCGCCUUUGAGGACAACGAGGACACGGCAGGCGCCGUCGGCCUCAGCGACGGCUUCCACCACUACCACAUCGUCGUCACCUACUAGUUCCAUGACGGCUUCUGUGUCGUCGAGUCCUUCUGCAGCUUCUGCCGCUGUUCCUUCCACAGUUUAGGUGGGACUCGUCGGAUCGGCCUCCUCAUUUCCUAUUUCAGACUUAAAAUUGUGGUGGUUCCUCCUUUACAUAAGCUCAAGUGUGAAGUCGUGAAGUGUGAAGCCGUGAAGUGUGAAGCCGUGAAGUCCAACUCAUUGUAGCAUAUCUGUGUUGUAAAGAUUGUAAUAGAUUUAUUUAGUGGUAUAUUUGAUGAAUUUUAUGUGUUCUUUGUUCUAUUUGAACUAUUGAUUAUGUAUGUGAUUUGAAAACUUGUGAAA